rnacentral:rRNA from 1 species
GAUGAACGCUAGCGGCAGGCUUAACACAUGCAAGUCGAGGGGCAGCGCGGGUAGCAAUACCUGGCGGCGACCGGCAAACGGGUGCGGAACACGUACAGAACCUACCUUUGUCUGGGGCAUAGCCCGAAGAAAUUCGGAUUAAAUCCCCAUAAUAUAGAGAAGUGGCAUCACUAUUCUAUUAAAAUUUAAUUGGACAGAGAUGGCUGUGCGUCCCAUUAGCAGUUGGUAGGGUAACGGCCUACCAAGGCGACGAUGGGUAGCUGGUGUGAGAGCACGACCAGCCACACGGGCACUGAGACACGGGCCCGGACUCCUACGGGAGGCAGCAGUGAGGAAUAUUGGUCAAUGGACGCAAGUCUGAACCAGCCAUGCCGCGUGAAGGAUGAAGGCCUUCU